rnacentral:rRNA from 1 species
AGGGAUAUUGGGCAAUGGGGGAAACCCUGACCCAGCGACGCCGCGUGAGGGAAGACGGUCUUCGGAUUGUAAACCUCUGUCUUUGGGGACGAAAAAGGACGGUACCCAAGGAGGAAGCUCCGGCUAACUACGUGCCAGCAGCCGCGGUAAUACGUAGGGAGCGAGCGUUGUCCGGAAUUACUGGGUGUAAAGGGAGCGUAGGCGGGAAGGCAAGUUGGAUGUGAAAACUGUGGGCUCAACCGACAGACUGCAUUCAAAACUGUUUUUCUUGAGUGAAGUAGAGGCAAGCGGAAUUCCUAGUGUAGCGGUGAAAUGCGUAGAUAUUAGGAGGAACACCAGUGGCGAAGGCGGCUUGCUGGGCUUUUACUGACGCUGAGGCUCGAAAGUGUGGGGAGCAAACAGGAUUAGAUACCCUGGUAGUCCACACCGUAAACGAUGAUUACUAGGUGUGGGGGCGUCAAGCUUCCGUGCCGGAGUUAACACAAUAAGUAAUCCACCUGGGGAGUACGGCCGCAAGGUUGAAACUCAAAGGAAUUGACGGGGGCCCGCACAAGCAGUGGAGUAUGUGGUUUAAUUCGAAGCAACGCGAAGAACCUUACCAGGUCUUGACAUCGUGCGCAUAUUCUAGAGAUAGAAGAAGUCCUACGGGACGCAUAGACAGGUGGUGCAUGGUUGUCGUCAGCUCGUGUCGUGAGAUGUUGGGUUAAGUCCCGCAACGAGCGCAACCCUUACGAUUAGUUGCUACGCAAGAGCACUCUAAUAGGACUGCCGUUGACAAAACGGAGGAAGGUGGGGAUGACGUCAAAUCAUCAUGCCCCUUAUGACCUGGGCCACACACGUACUACAAUGGCAAUGACAGAGGGAAGCAAGAUAGCGAUAUGGAGCAAACCCCUAAACAUUGUCCCAGUUCGGAUUGCAGGCUGCAACCCGCCUGCAUGAAGCCGGAAUUGCUAGUAAUCGCGGAUCAGCAUGCCGCGGUGAAUACGUUCCCG